UCAGGGUGGAGAGCCAUGAAUCAUGAGCAAGAGGCGCUAAGAACACUGCGUUUCUGCUGCUUCCCCCACAAGUCCCAGACAGCCUCGUGGGAUCCAACUCUGACCCCAGUGGAGUUCUUCAUCCAUGACUGGUGCCUUCAGGAAUGUGUCUGUGGGCAGCAAGAAGAGUUUCAAAUGCAGUAGAAUGGGGCCACUGACUUUUUUCCUUUCUUUCCAGGCUGGAUGGCAAGAGGGCCCUGAAGGUUGGUGAACUGCACGAGUAGGUAGACACAGAGGCCCGAGGCCUGCUGCUGAGUCAUUUCAAUCUGUUUCAGAUUCGAUUUGCUCAGUGCAUGGAGAAGAACAAGGCUCCCAGUGGAGAUAUCAUGUAGCUAGAGCCUAGAAGUAUUUUCUUAAUAGAUGAAAUUUAGAAAGAAUUUGAAUCUUCUGUGCUGGGGAGGUAGGUCGCCGAGUGAAAUGGUUGGGAAAAGGAAACAUUUGGCUCCAGUGAUUCCAAAGGACAUUUCACUGAUCUAAAUAUUUGUCCAGCUGAAUUGCUAUGUCCACUGUCACCUGCCUGGAAUCAAUAUGUUCAAAUCAAACACAGUCAUCGGCAUCUGAGCAUGGAGAAAGAACUUCUUAAACCUGAGCUGGCAACUGGGAGGGCGAGAGAAGAACCAGACAAGGAGCUAGGACAGGGGAGCUCUUUGCCACCAAGUGAGGGACCUGCAACAAUGGUCAAUCCCCUAGAGUUCGCAUCUGGAUCCCGUGAUUCAAUGACAAGCUUCAGAUCGUUGAGGUGUGGUGAAUAACUUUGAUAGGACAGCGUAUGCAUUUUUUGAGAAAGACUUUAUCUGUUGGAACAAACACUUGCUCUUUUUGCUUUAGCCUUGAACCUCUCAGGAUGCAGACAGACCACUGUGCUCGGAAGGCACAGACAAAGCUGAGCAUACCGUUCUCCUCACUUUUUAAGGAGUUUUCUUAAAAUGCCUGUGUCAAGGCCUUUUGAUUCUGAGUCAUGUGAGUGUUCUCCAAGAAAAAAAAAAGAGAAGCACUUUUCGAUUUAACACUGUUUCUCACCAAAUGCAUGCAAGUUGGCACAACAGGUAGCCCAGAUGUUUACAGCCCCUGCGGUGGGUUCACAGAGGCACUAGCACCUUCCUAGGCCCUGCCUUACAUGCGGUGUGGAAUUAGGUGGUGAACCCAUGACAGUGCGGGAGAAUCAGGAAGGACCAGCGUCCCGCGGCUCCCAUCGGCGACAGAGGAGUCUGCACAUUUGUGUGGACAGCAGUGUGCCCAGGGGCCGGUUCCUGCCACUCCUGUCACCACAGCUAUGCAGCCAAGGACACGUUGGAUCUUGCGACCCACCCUCUGUGGACUGAAGGAAAAGCGCUUCUGGGCCCUAUACAUGCUCUUUAUGUGCUUGUCCGGAAAGGAGAAGGUAGCAAGACGCAGUGACCAUUUUUGUCAUCGUUCGUAAUGUGGUAGAGUGAUUGCAAAAAUGUCCCCAACUCUUCACCCUUCCACGAAGCCAUACCUCUGCGGCGUGACGUUGCAUUUCCUCCCACCAGUAAGUGUCUCCCUGCGCUUGUAAAUCUGGACUGGUCUUGUGACUCACUUUGACCAACAGAAUAUAGGGUCAGUGAUGGUGUGCCAGUUCUAAGCCUCAGCCUCAAGAGGCAUUGAGCACUUGUGCCCUUUCUCUUGGGCCCAUGAUUGACCUAUGAUUGUGCUCUUUCUCCUGGACCACGGGAGCAAGCUGCGCUGCUGGAUGAAAGAGACACUGCCCCGGUCCCCCUGUCACUCUCGCUGACAGCCAAACAACUGCCAGACUUCUGAGUGAGGCCUUCCUAGACCAAGCAGCCCUUGGCCCAUCUGCCAGCUGACCACAGAUCCGAGGAAGCCAAAUCAGGAUCAACCAAACCUGGCCCAAGUUAGCAGCACUGCCCGGCUGAGCCAUAGACCUGUGAGCAAAAGCAAAUGCCUGUCGUGGUUCCCUUCAUCUUUCCUGCCCAGAAUGUCCAUUCAUUCAUUCGACAAAUUCAUGUUGACGCUUAAAUUGUGCAAGGCACUGCUUCAGGCCCUAAGGAUAUAAAAUGGGAAAGUAGGACAAUGUACCUACUGUUAUGCAGCUUCUAUUCUAGUGGGAGGAGACAGACAGUAAAUAAAUAAAAACAUAGCAGGCAGCGAUAAGUGCUAGGAUUAAAAUUAAUCAGGAAAUACAUGGGGUGUGGUUGUGCUUUAUGUUGCGUGGUCAGGGAGGGCCUCUCUGGGGAAGUGAAGUUUAAGCUGCGACAUAAACGACAAGAAGAAGUAAAGUCAACUGAACGUGUGAAAGAGGAGCUCUCUAGAAAGAGGAUGUAGCUAGUGGGAGCCCUCAAGAAGGAACGGACUUGGAUGACUUUCUACAAGGAGUGGGAGAGUGGUGGGCAGAGGCCUGACCAUUGUGGGCUACUUGGUCAGAGGAAAGAGCUUGUAUUUUCUUCUCAGUGCAAUGAGGAGCCUGUGGAGAAUUUAAAGCAAAGGAGGAACAGGAUCUGACCUACAUGAGUCUGAACCAUCAGGAAGGAUGGGCCAACAAGAGUAGAAGGAGGGAGAUCAUUUAGGAGGCUCUUACGGUCACACAGGUAAGAGAUGUUGGAGGCCUGGAGCACCAUGGGGGCCACAGGGAUGGUGAGAGGUACACAGGCUCUGGGGAGGUCUCAAAGCAACCGUCAUCUACAGGUCUGCAGUUGGGCUGAAUGGAGGAGAAAAGCAAGGGGCCAAGGAGGAUUCCUAGGACUAGACUAGCCACAGAGGUGCCAUUUACUGAGACAGAGGACACAGGGGCAGGAGCAUAUUUAUGGGAGAAAAUCAAGAUUUCAGUGCUGGACAUUAAAAGUUUGAGAUGCUUCUUCAACAUCUAAGGGAAUGUGACUACAAAGCAAUACAUAACAGAGUAUAUGAGUGUGGGUUUCCAAAAUGGACCAGGGCUUAAGAAUAGGGGUAUACAUUUGAGAGACAUGACUCUAACGAUGGUAUUUAAGGCCACAGAACUGGAUGAGAUUCCCCAAAGUAAGGAUGUGGAUGGAGAAGAAGAGGAGUCAAGGUGCAGAUCCCGAGGCAAAGCAACACUUAGGGGUCCAGCCAAGGAUUCUAAGGAAGAAAAGCCAGUAGAGAAAAACCAAGAGGGUAUGAAAUUACAAAAGCCAAGAGAGUGUUAAGCAAUGAGGGUAUGACUUACAACUGCUACAGUCACUGGGCUUACUUCACAAGUACACCAUUAUCAGGAAACCAGCAUUAUACCCAGUCACCCACCUGUCAACCCCAGGAGCCAUUUCAGCAUUCACUCCUCAGAUAUAUCAGUGUUAUGGGUCGCACUGUGUCAAUAAAGUAAGUUAUGUUGGAGUCCUCACCCCGGUACCUUAGAAUGAGACCUAAUUUAGAGAUGGGGUCUUUACAGAGGUAAUCGAGUUACAAUGCGGCCAUCAAGGUGGGUCCUAAUUCAAUAUGGACGGCGUCUUAUAAAAAGAGGACAACAGAGAUACACCCAACGCCCAGGGAGACCGCCAACGUGAAAACGAAGGCCGAGAUCAGGUUGAUGGAGCAGAAGACAAGGAACACCAAAGAUGGUCAGCCAACCACCAGAAGCCGGGAGACAGGCAAACACCGACUUUUGCUCGCGGCCUCAUGGCCUUCGGAAGGGCGCGAUGUCUCAAUUUUAGACCUCUCGUCAGAAUUCUGAGAAAAUAAAUUUCUGUUAAGCCACCCAGUUUGCGACACUUUGGCUAGGCAGCUUCAGCAAACUAAUACAGGCCUUCAGCACGCUGUCACAGCAGGGGUCUCCUCUCCAGGUGGGCAAAACACAAGCUAGGUUUCUGGGACAGUGUUAGCCACUGUGGGAUCCCUCCGUGGGCUUUGUGCUCAGGGUUUGGAAGUGGAACUGUGUCGCCAGCCCUUGUAAGAACACCUGAAACACAGUCACACGAGGUGAGUAGUGUGAAGGCUACAAGCUUUAGGGUAAAAAUGAAGCAAUAUGCUGGAGGGAAGCAAAUCGGAGGGAGCAUGUCUAUUCAAUACGGAAGAAGCGAGGAAACCUGCCAUCAAAGAAAGCAUCAUUGUUCAUGUGGCGUUUGGCCCCCAGAAGUAACCCCAGAUGGGGGGGAAGGUCCCCCCCUCCACUCUGCCUGCCCAAAUGAGAGAUGGCUUGUUUGGACAAUGUACACACUUCGAAAGCCUCCUCUUUCACUCUGCCUAUUUCUGUUCCCACAAGGCCCACAGUUUCUCUUUUUAUCCUAAAUUUAUAAAAUGCCAAAGAAAAUAUGACUUUUUAGAAGAUUCAAAAUCUGGAAAGUACCCUUAAGGUAUUGCAGUUAAGCUGUUUUUGAUGAUAAGGAGCAGAUACCCACAAAUGCGUUCAACUCGGAUUGGGGGCCAGGGGACUGAAGUCAGGAAGCCCCAUGAGGUAGUAAGAGAGACAUUCUGUUGAAACCAAGAUCUUCUGUAAUAAAAAUAGAUCACACUUACACAGCAUGCCAGGCACCCUGAUAAAUGCUUUACGUGUGUUAGCUGAUUUCUUCCUCACAAUAGCCCUUUGAGGGAGAUACUGUACUUCUCCCCACUAUACAGAUGAGGAAGCCAAGGUAAAAACAAAACAAAACAAAACAAAGAGUAAGUGCCAAGGUUAAAAGCUAGCAAGCAAGGAGCCAGGAUUUGAACCAAAAUGGGCAGGCUUCAAGGAAUGUUCCUUUAAGUACUGGUUUAUGCUACUCCAUGGGAAUCCAAAUGGAAUGGAAGCACAUUAAGGAUUUUCCCUUUCUCCCUCCUUCCGUCUAACUUUCUCCCCACUUCCUUCUCUCUCUCCUUCUCUCCCUCCACCCUCCUCUUCCAGUCUUCUCUUUACACCUCCCUCUGACUCUCUUAGUAUUUCUCUUCCCCCUCUUUUGUGUGUAUACUCUGUUCUCCUUUGCCUACUAACUAGUUUAUUCUUUCUGUAUGCUCUGUGUUGCCUUUUUGUACCCAACAGCUUCUACUUAAUCCUCAUUCCUACUCCCUUGUACCUACAGCCUGGACAUGGCCCACUUUGGCUACUCCAAACUCACAUUGGUCACUACCUCACUGGGAUUUCUUAAGAAUCCCAGCGCACAAAGUCCAAUUGGAUCUGUCCAUGAGCUGCCCCCCAAUCCAAAUGGCUAUGGCUACCUACUGAGUCAUAGGGAACGAAAUAUGGCAGCCCACUCAGGGCAGCCACCAAGAAUGAUGCCUAGUAAGCAAAGUAUCACCUUCAUUUUUGACAGAAAAACUGUCUACUGAUCACGUCUGUCACAGAUAAGCCUGCCAGCCAAGUCCCCACUGCUCCCUGGCCCAUGCCCGAGCAUACGAUGCCCCUGGUAUAAUAAUGCUCAUGCAUGCUGUGCGUCUCUGUGCGAUGUGGGUAGCUGAUUGCAAGUGAAUAAAUGAGAAUCUUGUCUGGCUCCUUCGAGAGAAGACAAAUGGGCUGGAGUUGUGAGGCAUAUCGGAGAGAAGGGGAACCCAGGCAUCAGGAGGAGGCAAAAGACAGAGAACCGCAUCGUUCCGUGAAACUCAUCAGAGACCUGCCCCUUCGACAAAGCAAGGUCUCCAUCUGUCUUGGGAGUAAAAGCUGGACACCGGAAAAGAGAAGCUGCCUUGGUAAAAAGUCAAAGGGAACUCAGCCUAGGCCAGGGGUAAGCUCGUAUUUGAACUAGAAAGAGAAAUUCGAUUCUUCUGGGAGAAAAGGAAAAGAUGCUGAGCUACAAGGAGGCUGGGCUCACACAGCCAGAUUAAGACAUCUUGCCUAGAGCACAUGGCGUCUCUGUAUCAGACUUCUGUAGUCCCCAAACAGUGAAUCACUCUGUAAGAGACACCUGCACUCGCAGGCCUGGAUACAGAAAGGUAUGUAGAAAGCAAGUCUGCUAGCAAUUUCUUUUUUUUAAAGGUGACUCUAUUCCAAAUAAAGUAUUCAAAUGAUACAUUAUUAUGUUUCCACAUAAUCUCUUAACAGAUUUGAACAGCCUUAUUAUAGAGUUGGACAGGUGUUAGUAUCUUGCUUUAUCCCAGCCUUCCACACCUUGCAAGAUCAUUCAGCCUUCCUCCUAGAAAUUUUGCUCUCGUCUUUAAUACACUGAAUUACUGAAAAUAGGUUUUCCAUAUACUUGGAGAGCAAAAAUAUUUUUCUCAUUAAAAAUAGAAUCACAACAGGCACAUAGAUAUCUAAACAAAGGGUACCCCAAAUCUCAUAUCCGGACAGCGAUUCUAGUUUUCAGGACUGCCACAAACAUCUAAAAAACUCCCCUACCGCUAAAGCAGAAUUUAUGGAACUAGUAUAAUGUGUUGAUGAUUAACCUUGUCAACUUACUUCUCUAAUAACCCCUCCUCGUUUAUGCCCUGGUAGUAAAAGAUUCCCUUCUCCUAUGCAGGAAGUCCAGAAUGAAAAGUGGGUUGUUGCCAUGGCAACAGAACACAAGGCAGAGAACUCCAGAGAAGGGGGAGGUCUCUAUACCCAAGGCCACAGCCACAAGAAAGCCCCAGGCCCAGAGUGGUGGCAGCAAAGCGAAGCAACCUGCUAUGACUUCACACUGCCAGAUGGCCCGCUGUUGACACAGGGUUCCCCCCAACUGCUAAUUAUUUGCAUAACUCUGGAUCAUUCAUUCAAAGGAAAAUAAGGAAUUCACUUAAAUAUGCAUUGAUAUACUUACCAGUUUUUCUCUUUGAACGGCGUAGCAUUGGAAACUUUCUCCACAAACAUUUAACACAGUGCCUUACACAUAGAAGCUACUUAAGAGGGGUGUAUGUAACGAUUUACUGGGUCCCUUCUUGAGCCAGGUACUACUCAAGAUACAGAAAUGGAAAAGACAAGUUCCCUCUCCUCAGAGAGGGUAGACAUGCGCAUAUAAUCAAGAUCCAUAUAACCUUACAUGCCACCUUGUUGCUACAGCCUUGCCCAAGGUGGGGGGAGGGGUGGGGGGGGUUUCAGAAGACAGCCCUACCCUGGAGGAGAACACAAGAAAGGGGAGUGAGGCACAGAGGGUACGUGCCCCAUACCGCAUGAUCUGAGUCCUGAGGAUGAUUGAAGAGCUAAGGGUGCUCGUUGAUUGUUUGCUGUUUGUUUUUGUCUGCUCGCUCUGAGAUACCCAUGACAGACAGGAUGGCAAGAGCGAAGGCCCAAAGGUAAACAGUAGCACGGUCCAUGUCAAGAAAGCAUAGUCAGUUUGCCGUCCGUGAACAGGAAUGUGCAGGGCAGGGAAUGGCAGGAAGUGAAGCUGGACACACAGGUCACCAAGGCGUUGACGGAGCGUGGAAGUCCCUCCCCUGGGAGAGCCUGGACUGUGGUUUCUGGACAAUGGAGGCACCGACUUGGCGAAGCCUGCUUUCUGGAAGGACUCUUUCGCAGCAGUAUGGGGAACUGCUUAGCAGGUAACACCGUACUCAAGAGGGCCAGCUCCAACGGGGCUUCAGACAUCCAGGCAAGAGACCAUAAAAGCCUGAGUCAGAGUAGGGUAUUAGGGAUGGAAAGGGUGAGGAUAGAUUCUAGAAACAUUGAGUAAGUAAAAUCACAUAGCUCCUCAGCAUGACUCACCUCCCCAAAUCCCUAAGACCCAAAUCUCCAUCCUCCUCUCCAUACCAAUUCGAACACUAAGAAAAACCUGGGCAAAGAAGGAUAAGAUCGGCAGUGACUGGUGCUCCUUCCAUAGUACAUGGCUUAUACAUUCAUUGAACCACUUAAAAUGAUCACAGUCACUUUCAACCCUAUUGGCUGAGUUGAUGGACAGGCAAAAACAUUUCUUUCGUGGAUUUAUUCCAGUACACUGUUUCCAAUCAUUAUGGGUCAUGGGGGUCAGAAACAGAAAGGAGAUUUUUUAGAAAGAUUCUGAACAAUGUAUCAGUGCCAACUCAGAGCGACAGACGAAACAAAACAGAUAAUGUUUUGCGCUGAGAUAGGAUCAUUCCUUUGAGGUUCUCCUGGGUUCACAGUGAAUAUUAAUUUUUAGAGCAUUCCUAUAAAGUAGACAAGUGGCAAAGGGGUUUGGCUCCAUUUCAGUGGGGGAAAAAGGAAAAGAUGCUAGUGCCUGGAGACAUGAACUGAUUUAUCAGAGGCGAGGCAGGCUGGAGGCAAGCCUAAGGACAGGGUUUGGGCUUCUCGGUUUCCUCUCCUGGUUUUAUCAUUUCAACCUGUCCUAAUGAGGUUAUUGUACUUAACAUAGCCUGUCCAGAUCUCAUCUGAAAAGAGGAAGCAAAGACCUGGGUAAUUUUCCAGAUAAUUUCUUUAAGAGGAAAAAAAGCAACCUCUCUUCCCUCCAAAUUGUUUAUAAUUGAUGCAAUACAGGAAGUCUCACUGCUUUUUAAUGAGUUCCCAAACUCAAAUUGCGCCAUUUAAUUUUUUUUUUUUUUUGGAAAUCUACAUUUGCCUGAAAUAUCUCAGUAAUUCGAGUAGAAAGGGAGGUUUUGCCUUAAUUAUGAAAAUGACCUCAACUUGCUUCUUGGUGCAGCAAUGGAACGAGAGGGCAGUGCACAGUAUCCUGGCUGUAGGAAGCAAGCCCUUCCCCUGUGGCCUAGGAUGGACCCCUUUUGGUGCUGAAAUGGGGGCACAGGGAAACCCCGCGCUGGGGCUCGACACUGUGAUCCUUUCCAUUCUCCACUAUAAAUUCGUAGGUCAUUUUGCAUGUGCCAGGACUCCAGUGGACACUGCCUGCUUUGCUGAGCUUAUACACAGCUGAAAAUGUAAGACUUAGGUUAGCGACUGGAAAAAAAAUGACUCAGUUCUUACUAAAAGGUCAGCCUUGGAUUCAGGUUUUAUAUACAUAUUGCAUUGACGGGUAAACCGAGCUAGCAGUGAUGAGGCGAGGAAAGGAUUGCAUUCCUUUUUUUUUUUUUUUUUUUAACCAAAGCACCCAUCCCCACUCUUUGUCUCCAGUCCCGUUAUCUGUCAUGCUGCUUCUGUCCCGCCUCAUUCAGCCACUCUCCCCUGGCUCUUUUUUUCUUGCAUCUCUCGAGAUAGAGUCACCUGCUUCUGGGCAAAAAGCCUGCCUUCCAGUGUGGUCCACGGGCAGCAUUUGAGGUAAGGAGAAGGAGCCCUAUCCUGAAGUAGCAGCUUUGGAGGUAUACUGUGAGUCUAUAGGAGGACCCCAAGAGUUUGCCUUUUCACCGGACAAAAGCUUCAGAUCUUGACUAUGAACAGAGGCAGCUCCUCUGGGCUGGUGUGCCGGCUGCCCUGCUGCUUCCAGCAGUCAGAAGAGCCACGGACCAAAGACGCUCGCCAGGCCACCCUGAUGCCCAGCUGGAGUGCGUCCAGGUGUUCUCCACACGCUGCUCCCCUCCACCCUGCCAGGCUCCCUGCGCACACACCCUGCAUGGAAUUCGUGCUCUUCUGCAGGCACCCACCUCCCAAAAGGGGAGCCCCUUUCUGAGAUUGAAUCGCUUCAUUUUUACAUCCUAAACAAUUACACAUGAUUUCCCAAAACGUGAGAGGAGUCAGCAGACUCUCUCCAAAUACUGGGCUGCAAGGCGGUAAAGGCAGGGGAAGGGGGGGUGGUGUGUAGAGGAGGGAGGAGGGAGACGCAUGGGGGAAGGAAGGCAGAGGCUCUGGAGUCUUUGUUUCUUUCCCAUCUGGCUGGGCGCCAGGGGCGGAAUCCAAGAGACCUAUCCUUUGUCCACUGAUCUGACGGCCGUCCCACGUUCCCACUCGGCAGAAUCCAAGCGGAAUGCAUUCACACAUUCACAUCCAUUGCUCAAAAGCUUACUGAGAAAUCUAAGUCUUCCUGUGCCUAGUGGAAGCAAGAUUUCUGUGCAGCGUAUCUAUUUUCAAGGUCACAGUAAAAUGGAGAGUUCCACUCGCUCCGGUAGAGUCUGUCAUUGUUAGCACUCUCCUAGUCCUCCAAGGAGACCAAAAGCAUGUGCUCUGUGGCUUUAAGGGAAGAGAGAAUCCUUCCCAGGCUCCCUCUAUCAAGUCUGGUUAGGUUUUAGCAUGUAAAGUUCCAGGCCAUAAAUAAUUCAAAAGGCAUGAAGAAGAUUUUCUUCAUUCUCCAUCUAUCCCUGCACACAACACCCCCCUCCCCUUUCUGGCUUAUAACAAAUGCUAAUUUAAUCAACUGGCAGUAAAUUGCACUGGUUGCUGACUCAUGCCAGACACAGCCCCUGUGGACUUGACAGAGCUCUGUCAUCCCAUUUGGAAAUGAACAGUAAAGAAGUGCGGUCCUGA